AUUGAACGCUGGCGGCAUGCUUUACACAUGCAAGUCGAACGGUAACAGGCCGCAAGGUGCUGACGAGUGGCGAACGGGUGAGUAAUGCAUCGGAACGUGCCCAGUCGUGGGGGAUAACUACUCGAAAGAGUAGCUAAUACCGCAUACGAUCUAUGGAUGAAAGCGGGGGACCGUAAGGCCUCGCGCGAUUGGAGCGGCCGAUGUCAGAUUAGGUAGUUGGUGGGGUAAAGGCUCACCAAGCCAACGAUCUGUAGCUGGUCUGAGAGGACGACCAGCCACACUGGGACUGAGACACGGCCCAGACUCCUACGGGAGGCAGCAGUGGGGGAUUUUGGACAAUGGGCGCAAGCCUGAUCCAGCAAUGCCGCGUGCAGGAAGAAGGCCUUCGGGUUGUAAACUGAUUUUGUACGGAACGAAACGGCUCUGGUUAAUACCCGGGGCUAAUGACGGUACCGUAAGAAUAAGCACCGGCUAACUACGUG
rnacentral:rRNA from 1 species